UGAGUACGAGCUGCUACGGCAGCGAAGUGGGUGAUGUCAAGCUUCCAAGAAAAGCCCUAUACCCGUUAAGGCAUGAUGGCCUGUACCCGAAACCGACACAGGUGGGGUGGUAGAGAAUACCGAGGGGCGCGAGAUAACUCUCUCUAAGGAACUCGGCAAAAUGGCCCCGUAACUUCGGGAGAAGGGGUGCCACCGCAAGGUGGUCGCAGUGAAGAGGCCCAGGCGACUGUUUACCAAAAACACAGGUCUCCGCUAAGUCGCAAGACGAUGUAUGGGGGCUGACGCCUGCCCAGUGCCGGAAGGUUAAGGAAGCUGGUCAGCGCAAGCGAAGCUAGCGACUGAAGCCCCGGUGAACGGCGGCCGUAACAAUAACGGUCCUAAGGUAGCGAAAUUCCUUGUCGGGUAAGUUCCGACCCGCACGAAAGGCGUAACGAUCUGGGCGCUGUCUCGGAGAGAGGCUCGGCGAAAUAGAAUUGUCUGUGAAGAUGCGGACUACGUGCACCCGGACAGAAAGACCCUAUGAAGCUUUACUGUAGCUUGGUAUUGUGCUCGGGCUCGGAAUGCGCAGGAUAGGUGGGAGGCUAUGAACCAUUGCUUGUGGGUGAUGGUGAGCCACUGGUGAGAUACCACUCUUUCCGAGCUAGAGUUCUAACAGCCACCCGUUAUCCGGGGGCUGGACAGUAUCAGGUGGGCAGUUUGACUGGGGCGGUCGCCACCUAAAAGGUAACGGAGGCGCGCAAAGGUUUGCUCAGGCUGGUUGGAAAUCAGCCGACGAGUGUAAAAGCAGAAGCAAGCUUGACUGUGAGACCUACAAGUCGAACAGGGAGGAAACUCGGCUUUAGUGAUCCGACGGUUCUGCGUGGAAGGGCCGUCGCUCAACGGAUAAAAGUUACUCUAGGGAUAACAGGCUGAUCUCCCCCAAGAGUUCACAUCGACGGGGCGGUUUGGCACCUCGAUGUCGGCUCAUCGCAACCUGGGGCUGAAGUCGGUCCCAAGGGUUGGGCUGUUCGCCCAUUAAAGCGGUACGCGAGCUGGGUUCAGAACGUCGUGAGACAGUUCGGUCCAUAUCCGGUGCAUGCGCAGGAAUAUUGAGAGGAUUUCUCCCUAGUACGAGAGGACCGGGAGGAACGCACCUCUGGUGUACCAGUUAUCGUGCCAACGGUAAACGCUGGGUAGCCAUGUGCGGAGAGGAUAACCGCUGAAAGCAUCAAAGUGGGAAGCCCACCUCAAGAUGAGUAUUCCCAUGGGGUAACCCAGUAAGGUCACGGGAAGAACACCCGUUGAUAGGCUCUACGUGGAAGCGCAGUAAUGUGUGAAGCGGAGGAGUACUAAUAGACCGAGGGCUUGAUA
rnacentral:rRNA from 1 species